AUUGAACGCUGGCGGCAUGCCUUACACAUGCAAGUCGAACGGUAACGGGCCUUCGGGUGCCGACGAGUGGCGAACGGGUGAGUAAUAUAUCGGAACGUACCUUUCAGUGGGGGAUAACGUAGCGAAAGUUACGCUAAUACCGCAUAUUCUGUGCGCAGGAAAGCAGGGGACCUUCGGGCCUUGCGCUGAUUGAGCGGCCGAUAUCAGAUUAGCUAGUUGGUGAGGUAAAGGCUCACCAAGGAGACGAUCUGGAGCGGGUCUGAGAGGAUGAUCCGCCACACUGGAACUGAGACACAGUCCAGACUCCUACGGGAGGCAGCAGUGGGGAAUUUUGGACAAUGGGGGCAACCCUGAUCCAGCCAUGCCGCGUGAGUGAAGAAGGCCUUCGGGUUGUAAAGCUCUUUCGGCCGGGAAGAAAUCGUAUGGGCUAAUACCCUGUGCGGAUGACGGUACCGGCAUAAGAAGCACCGGCUAACUACGUGCCAGCCGCCGCGGUAACAC
rnacentral:rRNA from 1 species